rnacentral:rRNA from 1 species
UACGUAGGGUGCAAGCGUUGUCCGGAAUUAUUGGGCGUAAAGAGCUCGUAGGCGGUCUGUCACGUCGGCUGUGAAAUCCCGAGGCUCAACCUCGGGCCUGCAGUCGAUACGGGCAGACUAGAGUUCGGUAGGGGAGACUGGAAUUCCUGGUGUAGCGGUGAAAUGCGCAGAUAUCAGGAGGAACACCGGUGGCGAAGGCGGGUCUCUGGGCCGAAACUGACGCUGAGGAGCGAAAGCGUGGGGAGCGAACAGG